ensembl:lncRNA
ACCUGGCGCCCUCUCGCGGAGCCGUGUCACAGACAAGCAACAGUGAGAGGCUUGACUGUCACAGGCCCUGAGCCCACCCUGGGCUCCCUCCCUGGCCACCUCACACCCGUGGCCUCCCGCUUGGGUGGCGGCUGCGGGGGCCUGGCCCGUGUCCACGCUGACCCGGGCGGAGGCCACCGCCCCCCUGUGCUGAGAGCCCAGAGCAGGGCCCCAAACCCGAUGUGCACGAGGGCUUCUCUGAGCCUGUCACGCUGCCCACAACCUGGUCACAGCACGCGGGGCCCAGCAGUCCAGGGGACCACCCGAGGCGUCAACCCCAGGCUGACCUCGCACACUGAUCGUGGGGGUAACCAGCAGGGGCGGCGUGGGGUGUAGAGGGAUUAGGGACCCCAGGGACGGUGCACCAGUGACGGGCACAGACCCCACGGGGAAACGCAGGUGCACCUAGGUGGACGCCGGCACCACGGCCCGGGGACACCGCCAACUGUGAAGCCCGCGAGCGCCAGGCUUCUGCAGCCCACACCCGAGCACCCAGCUCCGGCUCCCGGCCCAGCCACACCCUGGGAGGCAGCAGGGAAGGCCCAAGCGCCUGGGUCGCUGCAGCCCUGUGGGAGCUCCCGGCUGUUGGAGGAUUCGGAUGGGAGCCCCACGCCCACCUCUCUGCGACAAGGACGCUACUCCAAGCCGCAACACGUGUAACACUGCUAAGUGCCCGGCUCAGCUACUGCGCGCACCGGAGGUACUGCUGGCUCGGAGCUGGGGGCUGCGGCUGCUGCGCGCGGCCCAGGACAGAGCGGGACCCCAGGUUCCGAGACCGGCGGAGAACGCGUCAGUCUCUCGCGGUCACAAAGCAGAGGGCCUCAGGGCCGGGGCCCGGCGAUGUGCGCCAUGUCCCGAGGCCGCUGCAGCUGGGGCGGACGCAGAGACCGGGACGGGUGCUGGUUCCCCACGCGCUUCAGAUGAAAGACCAUACAUUUAAACUGCUGAGUCAAGGCAAAAUACAUGACCUACAUAAAUCCCUCUACCAACACUUGAAACUUGUCGGUGAAAGUUUGUUCUUCACACUUGUGUUGGAUAUUCCAAACCAGCCCCAACCACAUGUGCUCUUCGAAUCCACAAGGACACUGGACCUUGCCAACCGUCACAUCUGCCGAGUUUCCGUUGCUACGGAGUUCCGGACAGCUCGCAGUCCCAACGCCCACACCCUCUCCACGACCAGAAACCGUCCAGGAGGGAGGACCCCACGGGGAGGCCCGCCCGGCUCUGGAACGGGGUCUGGCCACGGCUACCUCCCUCUUGAACCCAGCUGAGGAAUCACUUCUACCAGAAUCUCUAGGCAGCCUGGAGAAGGCGGGCUCCUGCCUGACGGACCUACAAGACACCGCGCGCCUCCUGGGCACCAUCUGACGUCACCGGGGGACACGGUCAGAGCGUGCCCAUGACCACGGACUUCUGGCGAGGGUCGGGACCGGGCACCCCUCGGCCGAUGUCCUGCUGGCGCCCUCUGGGGUCUAGGAGGAAGGGGGCGGGCUGGGCGGCAGGCCGCUGCUGACAGCUCUCCUCACUGACCUGCAGCAAGGCCGCCCACCCGAACGGCGCCGGGGCUCCGGACGGACAGCAGUGGCGACAGAAGCCAGCCCCGCAGAGCCCCGUCGGCUCUGCCAGCCAGCAGCGGGGUCACCGGAAACGGAACUGCCCUGGCGCGAAGGCUCCUGGGGCAGAGCCGCCCUCCACUGGGCCCGGCCUCCAAGGUAACCGCGGCCACCGGGGGGCAGCCCGGGGCAGUCCACUGCAGGCGUGCGUCCGGGCCGGCUGGGGACGGGAGCCCACCGGCGCCUGCCCUCCGGGCGUCACAGCCGCUCUGCAGUGCCCACACCUGGCCGGGCCUGCACGCCCACCUGUUUGUCAGUACCCAGCCGCCCGCUGGCUUCUGUCCACCGCCCCGGGGCUCGCCCAGCCCCCUCACAGCCCCCCUCACGCGGACUCUGCCCUUGGUUUUAGACCCCGCGCAUUACCUGCUUGUU